CGUACAUGUGGGGUGAUCAAACUUCGCAUGAAAGGAUGCGAGAUCACAUCUCUUCAUGGAUUUUUUGAUCUCUUAUUAGGUGAUUUGAGAUUAGGAUUAAAUCCCCUAUCCACAUGGGUUUUUAUGGAUUUUUUUGAUUUGAGAAGGGAUGCAAAAACAUCCCUUCUCUGGUUGCGCACAUAGAUGAGGGUGCUGAUCGACAUAUCAUUG
rnacentral:lncRNA from 1 species